rnacentral:rRNA from 1 species
GACGAACGCUGGCGGCGUGCCUAAUACAUGCAAGUUGGGCGCUGAAGGUUGGUACUUGUACCGACUGGAUGAGCAGCGAACGGGUGAGUAACGCGUGGGGAAUCUGCCUUUGAGCGGGGGACAACAUUUGGAAACGAAUGCUAAUACCGCAUAAAAACUUUAAACACAAGUUUUAAGUUUGAAAGAUGCAAUUGCAUCACUCAAAGAUGAUCCCGCGUUGUAUUAGCUAGUUGGUGAGGUAAAGGCUCACCAAGGCGAUGAUACAUAGCCGACCUGAGAGGGUGAUCGGCCACAUUGGGACUGAGACACGGCCCAAACUCCUACGGGAGGCAGCAGUAGGGAAUCUUCGGCAAUGGACGAAAGUCUGACCGAGCAACGCCGCGUGAGUGAAGAAGGUUUUCGGAUCGUAAAACUCUGUUGGUAGAGAAGAACGUUGGUGAGAGUGGAAAGCUCAUCAAGUGACGGUAACUACCCAGAAAGGGACGGCUAACUACGUG